rnacentral:rRNA from 1 species
GAUGAACGCUGGCGGCGUGCCUAAUACAUGCAAGUCGAGCGAACGGACGAGAAGCUUGCUUCUCUGAUGUUAGCGGCGGACGGGUGAGUAACACGUGGAUAACCUACCUAUAAGACUGGGAUAACUUCGGGAAACCGUAGCUAACACCGGAUAAUAUUUUGAACCGCAUGGUUCAAAAGUGAAAGACGGUCUUGCUGUCACUUAUAGAUGGAUCCGCGCUGCAUUAGCUAGUUGGUAAGGUAACGGCUUACCAAGGCAACGAUGCAUAGCCGACCUGAGAGGGUGAUCGGCCACACUGGAACUGAGACACGGUCCAGACUCCUACGGGAGGCAGCAGUAGGGAAUCUUCCGCAAUGGGCGAAAGCCUGACGGAGCAACGCCGCGUGAGUGAUGAAGGUCUUCGGAUCGUAAAACUCUGUUAUUAGGGAAGAACAUAUGUGUAAGUAACUGUGCACAUCUUGACGGUACCUAAUCAGAAAGCCACGGCUAACUACGUG